rnacentral:lncRNA from 1 species
GUUUGAGACAAGCCUGGGAAACAUGGCAAAACUCCACCUCUACAAAAAAAUAUAAAAAUUACCUGAGUAUGGUGGCACAUACCUGUAGUCCCAGCUACUUGAGAGGCCGAGGUGGGAGGAGAGCUUGAGCCUGGGUGGUUGAGACUACAGUGAGCUGUGAUUGUGCCACUGUACUCCAAUCUGGGCAACAGGGCAAGACCCUGUCUCAAAAAAUAAUAAAAAUAAAAAUGCUAAGGAAUCAAAAGUAACUUUCAAUCUAUAUAAUUGUCCUUAUUUGUCUUGAAUAUGUGCACCAUAUCAUAAAACAUCAUAUAUUUAAAGUGUCAUUUAAGGAGAAUUUAUUCAGUGCUUCAUUGUCAGGACUCUGGUGAAAUGGCAGAUUCUGCUCAUAAAAAAAAAAUGAAGGUGAAAGUGAUUUUUCACUUCCUGAGUAAACAAUAUAACCUGAGGCAUAGAUGUGCAUUUUGAGAGUUACGUUUUAAAUUAGACUUAAGUUUUCUACUUUCAAAUUUAUAUUUAAGAUUCUUGCAAUCUUUUACUCACUUUUGAGAAUUUGCAAGAAUUUAUUUUAAGCAUAAGCAAUCUUAAUAUAAUAAUCUGUAAGAAAAUGAAUUGUUCCUAUGUUUUGCACUAGAGUAAUGACUUUGAUUUUGAUGUGGUAUUGAUCAAUAACUCUAUUCUAUAGGAAAAUGGAAACGUCACUCCCUAGAAACAGUUGAAGUUGACAGACCUAGAGGUUGACAAAAGGACACAACACUAGGCAAGGUCUUGUAAUUCAGAGUCAACACUCUGCAAUCCUAUCUUCUAUUUUCUAACUAAACCUGUCAAGUCACAUUUAAGACCAUCCACAAAAAAAGAAGAUUGCACAGCUGUGACAUUGUCACCCCUACUGAGACCAAAGUAUACCUGGAAUUUACUAGUUAAGCAGUCUCAGAAAUCAGAGAUGGAUUGUUUAUAGAGUUGGAUUCAUUGCCAAUAAAUCUUAAAG